rfam:Ictidomys tridecemlineatus contig061356, whole genome shotgun sequence.
GGGGCUGUAGCUCAGUGGCAGAGCACUUGCCUAGCAUGCGUGAAGCAAUGGGUUCAAUCCUCAGCACCA